rnacentral:tRNA from 1 species
GGGGGUAUAGCUCAGCUGGUAGAGCGCUUGCAUGGCAUGCAAGAGGUCAGCGGUUCGAAACCGCUUACCUCCACCA